rnacentral:tRNA from 1 species
AAGGGUAUAGCUCAGUGGUAGAGUGUGUGCCUAGCAUACACAAGGUCCUGGGUUCAUCCUUAGUACCUCCA